UAAUUGACUAAAAACUUAUUAUCAAUUUGGCGUCUUUGCCAACACAGCUUGGGGGAGUUGAUAAGUGUGCAUUUUACAUGUUUUAAGCAUCCAUUUAUUACCACUAUUGCCUCAUAUCACCACUGUUUUAUACCAUUUCUCAUCAUUUCUCAUCAUUUUGCAUGUUUAGGAUAGUUUUGCAUGCAUGUUGCAUAUUUGUGUUGUUUUCAGGUGAUUUGGAGUUGUUGACGAGCUAAUUGGAAGAAGCGGACCUGAUCAUGUCAAACCACUCGACCCCUUGGCCGAGUAGAUGCUUCACGACCUCAAGAGACCACUCGACCCCCUAGUCGAGUACCACCAUGAGAGUCACUCGAUCACAUCACUCGACCACCUGGUCGAGUAUCAUCACCUCCACCACCUGACCAUCACUCGAUCACACCACUCGACCAAAAGGUCGAGUAUCUUCAUCACCGUCACUCGAUCACUCUACCACCAAGCCGAGUACCACCAUCUCCAUCACCCGACUUCAUACUCGAUUGCCAGCUUCAGAGUCUUCUCCAUUCCACACUCAACCAGACACUUGAGCACAAGGAAGAAAAGAAGACUCCAGCUUAUCACUCGACCAUUCACUCGACCGCCUUGGUCAAGUACCGUUUUUAAUCCGUCCCAAUACUGCAUCGUUUUGAGUAUAAGGGUUUCAGAAUAUUUCGCUAUAAGUAGCAUGUACUUUACAG
rnacentral:sRNA from 1 species